CAAAUACUCCCUCCGUCCGGAAAUACUUGUCAUCAAAAUGGAUAAAAGGAAAUGUAUAUAGACGUAUUUUAGUUUUAGAUAUAUCUCUUUUUAUCCAUUUUGAUGACAAGUAUUUUCGGACGGAGGGAGUAUUUA
rnacentral:pre_miRNA from 1 species